AAAGUCGUAACAAGGUCUCCGUUGGUGAACCAGCGGAGGGAUCAUUAUAGAGUCGCAAGACCCUACACCAUUGCGAACGCACCCUACGCCGUUGCCUCGGCGGGAGGUGGCCCCCCACGGGGGCUCCCCCCCGCCGGCAGCAUGCCAAACUCUGUAUUUGUGGGCCUCUCUGAGUAACAAAGACAAUAAGUCAAAACUUUCAACAACGGAUCUCUUGGUUCUG
rnacentral:misc_RNA from 1 species